AAAUUACAAAAAACACCCUUAUACUUUACAGUUGCUCAAUUUUUCCCCGUUUAAAAAUUUUAUCAAUUAUCAUCCUAUACUUUACUUUUAUCUCAAAUAGGUACAGUCCGUAAAUUUGGAAUGCUUAGUAAAUUAGAUUGUAAAACUUCACCAAAAUAAGUUCGCAUAUCAUAUUAUUCCAUUUUUCAACAUCUAUCUAAUUUUUAAUUAAACAAAUCAAUAAAAAAUUAAAAAGACUUAUUAUUUUGUUAAUACUAUCAAAAUUAAUAGGCCAAUUUAUAUAAAAAAAUUUACUAGUUGGAAAAGUCUUCCUGUACUCCUAUAGGAAGGUGUAUAUCCUACAACUAUCAGAUCCAAUGGCUGAUAUUAACCCACUAGCACAGUAGCUUCUAACCUCACACAUUUUUUACUUCUUGCUAAAGCUAACUUAAAUUAAACCCUACUACAC
rnacentral:lncRNA from 1 species